rnacentral:lncRNA from 1 species
UUUUUUUUUUUUUAUUUUUAGGGCCGCACCUACAACAUAUGGAGGUUACCAGGCUACGGUCCAAUUGGAGGUGAAGCCCCUGGUCUAUGCCACAGUCACAGCAACGUGGGAUCCGAGCCGUGUCUGUGACCUACACCACAGCUCACAGCAAUGCCAGAUCCUCAACCCACUGAGCGAGGCCAAGGAGCAAACCCGCAAUCCUCAUGGAUACUGGUUGGGUUGGUUAACUGCUGAGCCACGACAGGAACUGCGAAUGUCUUUACUAAUUACAGGGCGCCUUCUCAUCCAUCAUCACCCAAGACCCUCAUGAGCACUCUGUGAGGUAUGACGGCCAUCUCCCUCGUUUUACAAAUGAGAUGCCCGAGGCUCUGGCAUCGCAGUAGCUUGCCCAGGUCACAUGGCUGGAAAAGAGACCAAGCCAGGACUUGAACUCUGGCUCCCAGCUCUCAUUUCUCCACUCUUGACCACACCCAAGGGCCACCUGGAUGGGGCACAGGUGUGUGGACAUGACUGUGUUCUCCAGGUGAGACAAGCCAGGGUAGUAGUAAUAUCUGAGCAUCUCUGCCCAGUGGGCUGUGUCCUCACCCAAACCAGCUUCUCAUCCCGUGCCCCCCACCACCACCGCAGCAGUACUGUGCACACCAUUGGUCUAGACUUUGUUCAACGUCCCUGCAUCAGCCAGGUGAGGAGUCUCGGGGCAGGGAGGGGCAGUGAGGAGGUGGAGAGGGGAGAGGAGGAGAGAUCAGAGGCUAUCUAGACACAGCCUCCUGGUAGAGUCACUGAGAGCCCCAGGAGCUGCUGGCUGUGCCUCCUGAGCACACCCUGCACCUGCUUCGGUCCCUGCCACCUCUCAGCCCUAUGGCCAUCCAGCCCCCCACCAGCUUUUCCCUCAGACCCUGACAAGGUGGGGACCACUUCCCUUGGCCCUCGUCAAGACAUCUAGAUGGCACCUUCCAGCAGCCCAGGGAGCCAGAACCCCAUCCUCCUGCACCCCAAGGGCUCAGUCUGAUCUCAGCCUGCUCCAAAAUCCGACCCUCAGCAGAGUCAGAGGAAAACUGGGCUUCUCUACCAGCUGGUCAUGUGACAUCAGGUCACCCAGAACACGGGAAGGGGUGUGACUGUGCUAUGAGGAGCCACAGACAAGCUUUCCGUCUUCCAUCCACAUCUCUCACUAACAAGCCAGAGAAGGGCCCUUGCAGGUCCAUGGGAAGAGGCCAAGGAAAGACAUGAAUGAGAAAGGGGUCAGUCUCUGGCAGUAUCCAAGACUCCAAAGAAGAGGUGCAGGUCACCAGGAGACCCUGAGAUCUGGAGACUACAGGGUUGUGGGGAGUGGACAGACCCUCCUGGCUUCUGAGCCCCGCUCGACACCAAUUGUCCAUGGGAUCUAGACAAGCCAUGUAACCUCUCUGAGCCCCAGUUUUCCUCAACUGCAGAAUGGUGAGCAUGAGGGUUUGUGAGGAUAUGAUGCAUAUUCUGCUUGUGGUGCCAAGCUAGGGACACAUUUUGAAAAUUCAAGGCUCUUUCCUUGCUGCAAAAACUGACCUCUGGGGGAAAAAAAUUGAUCUUGUCUAGCCAUUACAGAAUAUUGCUUUUUCUCAUAACCUGAUGUGAUACAGAAGCAGCCAAUGAAGAAGCUGGCGGGUACUGAAAUGUCAGUUAUGAGAUAAUUACUAAUCACUGCAAGUCUAGCCCGUUCGCAGGGAAGCACGUGCAUGCACAUUCUGGGCCUCCGAGCCAGGAUCCCAAAGCCCAGGCCUUCUGCUUUGGCUGAUGCUGGGGCUCUGUCUCCAGGGCAAAGGAGUUUGAUACAAGAAAGAACUUUCAUUAUCUUUGCCCUGAAGCACCAGCAACUUCCUAUGAAGAGCAGAGUGCGCAACAAAGGGUAGUGAGAAAUAAAUCACUAUGUUUCCUCCUUGGUGGUUAGCUCAUUUAGAAAUGGAUAGACUCAAAUAAUUGUUUCUUUGUUUGGUCCCUCUCUUUCUGUGAUAUCAGAGAUGAACAGGUGACCAAGCUGGAUCAUCCAUAGACAUUUCCCUUUCGUUCAUAAGGUUGGGGGGCAGAGGUUGUGCUGGACCAAGGGCAGACACAGGACCACAUCUCUGCCAGGCCUCCCACAACAGGGGAAGCUGGGAACUUAUGUGAGUCCAUUGUGGGAGACUGUCACUCUCCACCUGCCACAACCCUGCAGUUCCCCAAGUCCAGGACUCUGACUCUGGAAAUCUGUGAAGCACACUUGUUCGUUUAGUCAGUGUUUAUUGAGCACUUACAACGUGCCGGGACCAGGCUGGGUGGAAAGGAUCAUCAGUGGCAAAGAUAGCUCGAUCCUUGCCCUCCCGGAACUAGUUCCACUACAGGGGAUGUCGGCCUUGGCACUAUGGACAUGUGGGGUCAGAUCUUUCUGUGUUGUGUGGGACUGUCCUGUGCACUAUAGGGUGACCCACAUCCUUGGGCUCUACCCACUAGGUGACAAUAACACUCCCAGUGGUGAGAACAAAAAAUGUCUCCAAAUGUUGCCAAAUCCCCCCUGGGGUCAAAAUCCCCCCUUCGUCCCCAGAGCUGAGAACCACUGUUGUGAUGGGAAAGGUGGCAUAGUGGAAAGAGUGCAAGAUUUAGAGCUAGACAGGCCCGGGUUCUCCCAUUGUAUUUGCUUUGUGACCUUAGGAGAAUUACUUACUUCUCUAAACCAUGGUUUCCUUAUUAGCAAUCACACUAAUCAUACUUUUGGGUAGAAAUCAUAUUUUUGCAAGGUUGCUAGGAAAACUAAAAAUCAAAUAUGUAAAGUACUAUGGCACACGUUGACAGCUACCCAAAAGCCAUCCUCCCUGGCCCAGUUCUUGCUAAGAGAACCACAGUUCUGUUUAGGGAUUCUUAUCUCAGGGAAGUUGGCUCGAUCCCUUGUGGAGAGUGGUCAUGUGAGAUAUAAAGGGCAUCUGAUGGAGGGGGCCCUCUGGGACAGAUCGGCCCUCUGUGAUAAGAAAGAGGCUGAUGAAGAGUGGGGUGAUAUUAAAAUAUGUGCGUGAAUUCUCUGAUACUCCUCCCUUCAAAAGGUGGAGACUAAUUCCUUUCCUCUUGAGCGUGGGCUACAUUUAGUGACUCACUGCUAACGACUAGAACAUAGAGAAACGACAAGUCUAAUCUUGUUCCUCCUUGGGCUCGGUCUCAGCUGGCUCUGGGGAACACGGCUGCCACGUUGUGAGGACACUCAAGCAACUCUGUGGAGAGUCCCACAGGAAGAGAAGCAAAGGUCUCCAGCUGACCAGCCCCCCCCCUUGCCAGCCAUGGGGAAAAGCCUUCUUGGAAUGGAUCCUCCAGCCCUAGUCAAGCCUUCAGAACACUACAGCCCCAGCCGGUAUCUUGACUGAAACCUCAUAAGACACCCUGAAGUAGAAUUACCCAGGUGCAGUAUCCUGUAUUCCUAGCCACGAAUAAGAAAUGUUUAUUGUUUUAAGCUUCAAGAUCUUGGAGUAAUUUGUUAUGCAGCAAUGGAUAACUAAUACAAGGAGAAAUGAUGUGAACCCCCACGUGAUCUGGUCAUGAGGACAUGAGGUUAGAUCCAUGGCAGCCAUCCUGGAACCAGAAGAGGCCCGGGGAUGUGAACCUAAGCCCAAAGCAAUCCCCCAAACCCCAAUUCUAGACAUUUUGUUAUAGGAGAAAAAUUUCCCCCUAUUUGCCUAAACCAGGGUUUCCUGAUACCUAUAUAGUUUCAUGCCUUGAAAACAGCAAGUUCUGGAAAGACGGUUAUUAUCUAUGAUGCUCUUUUUACUAUAACUUCUCAAGUCUCCUCCCAUGAAUUCCAAUACCUCUCAACUCUGCACCAGGUGCACCUGCAUCCUGAACUGGAGGGGCUGGUGAUGAUGAGAGGUUGGGGGCAGUGAAUCGAGAAGCUCUGAAGCUUUAUUCUGAGAGCUCUGACAUUCGUGACAGACUAGGAUAGACUCCCAUGCUCUUAGUCAUCUUGGGCUUCCAUAACAAAACACCACAGACUGGAUGGCUUAACCAGCAGAAAUGUAUUUUCUUGCAGUUCUGGAGGCUGGAAAUCUGAGAUCAGGGUGCCAGCAUGGUCAGGUUCCAAUGAGAGCUCUAUUCCCACCUUGCAGACAGCGGCCUUCUUGCGAUGUUCACACAUCAUAGACAGAGAGAGCUGUGGUGCCUCUUCCUCUUUUAACAAGGGCACUAAUCCCAUCACAGGGGCUCCAUUCUCAGGGCCUCCCAAAGGCCCCAUCUUCGAAUACCUUCACAUUAGAGUUAAGGCUUUGGGGAGUAUGCAAUUCAGUCCAUGGCUCAUGACAAAUCAUAGAGAAUUCAAUUCUCACUUCUCUAUACUAGAAAGGAAAACAACAAUGCAUUUCCCUUUCCCUGCCAUCAUCUUCUUUACGUAGUGCUUUAGUAGUUCUAAAUUUUAGAGGCAUGUUUCUUUAACAGGAGUGCUGGACCUCAGUUAGCCAAGCAGAAAGCAACAAAAGCAAAGCCAAACCAUUAUGUUCAUGUUUAAAAAUUUUUGAGCGAGGGAUAGGGGAAGAAUGGCAGAGUUAAAGUUUUCUGUAUAUUUUCAAAGUUAAAGUUUUCUAUAUAUUUAUUUCAACGAUUUAAUAUUGGGCCUCCUAGUAAUUAAUCAAGCUUGGGAACAGCCUGGGUUCAAGCCUGGGUCAGCCCCCUACUCACUGGGGGUGACCCUGAGUUACUUCAUCUCCCAGGACCUGUUUCCUCAUCUACAUUAUGGAUAUAAGUUCAAGCAGGUAAU